AAAUUAGUUUGUAUACUAUCAUUAUCAGAUAAUUUUUAUGAAAAAUAAUUAUUGGUAUUUAUUAUUUUAAAUAAAUUAGAUCAAGGUGCAGCUGAUAAAUAAGUUAAAAUGGGUUACAAUAAAUUUUAUUUAAUACGAAUGAAUUUAAGAAUUUAAAUUUUUGAAGGAGGAUUUAAUUGUAAUAUAAAGUUUAAUAUGCUUGUAAGAUAUAAGCUCUAAGUUAUGUACAUAUUGCCCGUCGCUCUCAUGUAUAAAUGAGAUAAGUCGUAACAUAGUAGAUUUACUGGAAAGUGAAUCUAGAAUACUGAAAGUUUAAUUUUUUCUUGCUUUUUUAUUUUUUUACUAAGUUUGUAUGAGAGCAGUUGUAAGUAUUUCUUUUUGUUAUUAAAUAAUAAGGUAUUUUAAUAGUAUAUAGGUUAUUUAAGUUAUAUAUAAUUCUCAGCAUAAAAUAUUAAUUAUAUAUAAAAGUAUGAAUUAGUAGUAAUUUAAGAUCUGAUAAAAUAUUGUGCCAGCAAUCGCGGUUAGACUUUAAGAUCAAAUAAAAAUAAGAGAGUUUGUUGUUAAGUUUUAUGGUAAAAUAAUUAUUUGAAAUAUAUAAAAGGUGAAAUUGAAAUUGUUAUAAUACAAAUAUAAUAUACUUAAAUUGAAGCAAAAAAGUUUCAGGUUUAAACUAGGAUUAGAUACCCUAUUAUACUGAGAGAAAAUAAAUAUAAUUUGAUUAUUAAUAGAUAAGUUCUUUAAAUUUAAAAAAUUUGGCGGUAAUUUAGUCUUGUUAGAGGAACCUGUUUUUUAAUCGAUAAACCACGAAUAAUCUUACUUAUUUUAAAUUU
rnacentral:rRNA from 1 species